rnacentral:rRNA from 1 species
CCCUUAGAUGUUCUGGGCCGCACGCGCGCUACACUGAUGCAUUCAACGAGUUUAUAACCUUGGCCGAGAGGCCUGGGCAAUCUUUUGAACGUGCAUCGUGAUAGGGAUAGAUUAUUGCAAUUAUUAAUCUUGAACGAGGAAUUCCUAGUAAACGCAGUUCAUCAAACUGCAUUGAUUACGUCCCUGCCCUUUGUACACACCGCCCGUCGCACCUACCGAUUGAAUGGUCCGGUGAAGCCUCGGGAUUGUGGCUGGUUUCCUUUAUUGGAGGUCGGUUGCGUCCGACUGCUGAAACUUGAUUAAACCAUAUCAUUUAGAGGAAGGUGAAGUCGUAACA